GCAAGUUGAACGGACUCAUAUUGAAACCUAGUGAUGUAUGAGUUAGUGGCGGACGGGUGAGUAACGCGUGGAGAACCUGCCGUAUACUGGGGGAUAACACUUAGAAAUAGGUGCUAAUACCGCAUAAGCGCACAGCUUCGCAUGAAGCAGUGUGAAAAACUCCGGUGGUAUACGAUGGAUCCGCGUCUGAUUAGCUAGUUGGUGAGGUAAAAGCCCACCAAGGCGACGAUCAGUAGCCGGCCUGAGAGGGUGGAC
rnacentral:rRNA from 1 species